UCAUCAUGCCCUUAUGACCUGGGCUACACACGUGCUACAAUGGUUGGUACAACGAGUUGCGAGUCGGUGACGGCGAGCUAAUACUCUUAAAGCCAAUCUCAGUUCGGAUUGUAGGCUGCAACUCGCCUACAUGAAGUCGGAAUCGCUAGUAAUCGCGGAUCAGCACGCCGCGGUCGAAUACGUUCCCGGGCCUU
rnacentral:rRNA from 1 species